rnacentral:rRNA from 1 species
GUCGAGAAUCUUUCACAAUGGGGGCAACCCUGAUGGAGCGACGCCGCGUGGAGGAUAAGGUCUUCGGAUUGUAAACUCCUGUCAUGCGUGAACAAGGUUGCUUGGUUAAUACCUGGGCAAAUUGAUGGUAACGCAAGAGGAAGAGACGGCUAACUCUGUGCCAGCAGCCGCGGUAAUACAGAGGGCUCAAGCGUUGUUCGGAAUCACUGGGCGUAAAGGGUGCGUAGGUGGCGUGGUAAGUAAGAUGUGAAAGCCCGGGGCUCAACCUCGGAACUGUUUCCGAUACUGCCAUGCUAGAGUACUUGAGAGGUGACUAGAAUUCUCGGUGUAGCAGUGAAAUGCGUAGAUAUAGAGAGGAAUACCAAAGGCGUAGGCAGGUCACUGGACAGUUACUGACACUGAGGCACGAAGGCCAGGGGAGCGAACGGGAUUAGAAACCCUUGUAGUCC